rnacentral:tRNA from 1 species
UGGAGUGUAGUUCAGUUGUAGAACACUGUCUGGCAUGCACAUGGCCCUGGGUUCAAUCCUCAACACUGCAA